UUCCUCAGGGAAGGUUGGGGGCGUCUGAGGGAGGGAGAAAGGACCUGGGGACGGACUUGUGAGGCUGCGAUCGGCGGUGAUGAUGUCACUGCGGCACAGGAGAGUGCGCUGUGACGUCAUAAGAGCCUUUUUCCUCAAGGAAGAGAAAUGCCGAGAUCCGCAGAGAUCAAGCAGUGGGAAGGAAGUUACCGCAGCCUAAGCCCGGCCUGGGCCGGGGAACCCCAAAGAAAGGAGACUUUAUGGGGAAACUAUAGAUGCGUUUGGAGCUGCCAAGUCAUUCAUUUAACAAAUGUUUAUUGAGACCUACUAUGUGAACUAGAAAUUGGGGAUAAAAUUCUGAAUAAAACAAAAAGGAGCCCUGCCUACACGGAGCUAAUGGAGUGACAGGAGAAGCAAAGAAAAAACAAGAAAACAGUAGACCUGCCAAAGUGGGCACAGUAGCUAUAUUUCCAGGAACUUCUCACCUGGGAGGCUUAAGAUGUUGUCCAGAAAUUCCUCAUGGUCCCCACAGAAGCCUAUUCAAGUUACACACCACUUCCUUUGUCAAGCGGAGCAAACCACAGAAACGUCGUGUGUGCUGCUGCUCUAAAAACUUCUUGUCGCUCUUAAAAGUGGUUGAAAGAAGAAAAGAAACAUCAGAAAAUCCUGGCAUUGGUGUCAAACCUGUCGAUGUAAUGCGUGGGUGGACUUGUACAUUUUUUCCCCUUUUGUGGUUGACUGAUAUUUGGGUUUCUCUGCGUACCUACGUCUGCCUGUAAUAGUUGUAGGUUAACUAAUGUUUUGCUCUGGCAAAUCAAGGACAACGUAUGUGUGUGCCAGGGCUUCUCUCUCACUGGAGUAUUGUUGCCGCCCAAGAAAUGAAUCUCCUGUUAGACAACAUCAGGAAUUGUUUCGAAAGCAUUCUUCCAAAAAAAACCACACGUAACCUUUGCAUAAUUGAACCUCAAAAUCCUCCAGCCUUGAAAUUAGACUUCUCUCUCUCCAAUGCAAGUUAGUAGAAUUAUUCAAAAUAUUUUCCAGUUCGAAGAGCUGGGAGAAAAUGUGUUGACCUGGUGACAAGGUAUCGUAGCAUAUGCUGUGCAGCUCUGUGUGGGCAGGGGAGGUAUUAUCCCCUGAGGCGGCAAGUGGAACAGCCAUGCCCCUCUCAGGACACACAGCCUGACGUCACCACCGCUGUCACUGUCAUCCACUAACCUCUAAAUACCCAGCAGGACCUAAGCCUUAAUCAUGAGAAAAAAAAAUUAUUUUAGACACAGUCCCUGCUUUGGAGAGAGAAAGAAGAUAUAAAAACUUGGAGCAGUAUUUUAAAAAUUAUAUAUAAGAUUGAUAUUACUUUGGUGUGUUAUAAAGGUGGAGGAUGCAGAAAGGUUAGUUAUUUUGAUUUGAGGUUUGACUCUUUUCAGUUUGGGAUUUUUUUUCUCUUUUAUUUAUUUUCACUCCCGUGUGGGGUUUGUUUAAAGAAAGAGAGAAUAUAACAAACACUCAUGUACUCACCAGGUUACGAGAUAAACAUCAGAGACGCAAUUGAAGCCCUUAUGUAUCCUUUCUCCUCAAUCCCAUUUCCUUUCUCCCUCUCCAGAAGGUAGCUGCUAUCCUAUUUAGUUAUCUUACCUUCUCUGGAUAGAUCUGUAAACAAUAAAGAUAUUAUAUACAGAUAUAUUUCUGCUACUUGUUUUGAUCAACAUUAAGUUUCUGAGCUGUAUCCUUGCUGAUCCAUAUAGUUUGAAACUCUCUUUUUUUCACAACUGUGUGGUGUUCUGCUGUAUACCUACGUGAUAAUUUAAAACAUCCUUUCUUCUCUUGUUGGGGGUCAUAGGAUUUUCAUAUCUGCAACUGUACGGGAUAUUGCCACAUCAUUCUCCAAAGU